UACGUAGGGGGCUAGCGUUGUCCGGAAUCAUUGGGCGUAAAGAGCGUGUAGGCGGCCCGGUAAGUCCGCUGUGAAAGUCAAAGGCUCAACCUUUGAAAGCCGGUGGAAACUGUGGGGCUAGAGUCCGGAAGAGGCGAGUGGAAUUCCUGGUGUAGCGGUGGAAUGCGCAGAUAUCAGGAGGAACACCAAUAGCGAAGGCAGCUCGCUGGGACGGUACUGACGCUAAGGCGCGAAAGCGUGGGGAGCGAACGAGG
rnacentral:rRNA from 1 species